rnacentral:piRNA from 1 species
UUGAGAUGAUGUUGGGGUGAU